AACGCUUCGGCUCAAUCCAUUUUUUAGAGAUAGAGAGAGAGAGAGAGUUCUAGGAUUUCUGGUGGAGAAAGAACAUUUUUAGAGAGAGAGAGAGAGUGAGUUGGGGUUCUAGAGAGAGAGAGAGAAUUGGGGUUCUAGAGAGAGAGAGUAUUGGGGUUCUAGACAGUGUGUUGGGGAGAGAGACUGUGUUUUCCCAGAGUAUUGCCUAGUAGAGAGCAGUAGCAAACCAGCAAUUGUAGAGAGAGAAAGAGUGUAUUUGGCCUUUAAGAAAAGAGUGGGGUAGAGAGAGAGUAUUGAGUCUUUAAGAAAGAGUUGGGUCCUUCAGAGACAAUCUUAUGUAUUCGGGGAGAGAGAGAGGGAAGUGGGUAUUUUAGAGAGAGAACAUUUGGGUUUUUUGAAAAGAAAAAAAAGAAUAAAUUGGAUAUUUUCCAUUGUUGGGCUUGUGGAGAUGAUGCAACUCCUAUUUGCUCUAGCCUUCUCGGCCGCACCCCUCACUCUGUACGUGCCCCCCGUCAGAAGCUUCACCCUCUUUGUAGAGACCAUAGAAUCUUUCAUACGCAAUAUGUUGACUCAUACUCUCAGGGCUUAUCCUCGCAUACGCGUUGGGUGCACAAGAGUCAUACGAUCCUUGAUCCGAAGGUAGAUAAAUACCCUCACCAUUUUUCACCUUUUUGGGUUUUUUUUUUUUCCUGUAAUAUGUCUCUGUCAUAGAUCUAAGCUGUAUAGGCUUGGUUAUAGUUCUUGGAUCUUGGGUUUGAAGAGUGUAUUGUAUUUGUACCAUACUGCCUUGGUGUAGGUUUUUGUGAGAAUAAGGGGAAUUAAUUGAAUGGGGUUCUCUUUCAAUAAAUUGGAUCUUGGGUCUAUAUAAUUGAUAAUGAAUUGUAGUGUAACAUUUCCGAGAGAUUGUAAAUGUAAUGAAUCGGGAUUCAGAAAAUAAAAGUGAAACUUUGUAGAGGCCUAUUAAGCAUUUCUUUAAUUUCAGCCC
rnacentral:lncRNA from 1 species